AUGGGGCUGCGGCUGAUCAGGCAGUUGGCGAGGUAACGGCUCACCAAACCUUUGACCAGUACGGGCCAUGAAAGUGGUAGCCCGGAGAUGGGCACUGAGACAGGGGCCCAGGCCCUACGGGGCGCAGCAGGCGCGAAAACUCCACACUGUACGAAAGUACGAUGGGGUUAUCUCGAGUGCAGUCCGAUAAGGGCUGCUUUUCCAUAGAGUAAUAUCCUGUGGGAAUAAGAGGGGGGCAAGACUGGUGUCAGCCGCCGCGGUAACACCAGCCCCUCGAGUGGUGGGGACUUUUAUUUGGCCUAAAGCGUCCGUAGCUGGCUGUAUCCGUCCCCCGUUAAAUCCAGCGUCCUAAACGUUGGACUGCGGGUGAUACCAUACAGCUAGAGGGUGGGAUAGGUGAGCGGUAUUUCUGGGGUAGGGGCGAAAUCCUUUGAUCCCAGGAGGACCACCAGUGGCGAAGGCUGCUUACUAGAACACGCCUGACGGUCAGGGACGAAAGCUGGGGCAGCGAACCGGAUUAGAUACCCGGGUAGUCCCAGCUGUAAACGAUGCUAGCUAGGUGUUGGGUCGGCCACGCGCCGCCCCAGUGCCGCAGGGAAGCCGUUAAGCUAGCCGCCUGGGGAGUACGGCCGCAAGGCUGAAACUUAAAGGAAU
rnacentral:rRNA from 1 species